GUCUAAGGCAAAUUAAGGGUGAAUGAGGUCAAAUUUCUUCCAUGCUUCGGAAUCUCUUGGAUGUCUUAACAUGCCUUCAUCCGUACUUUCUUAUGCAUGCCAUCUCAUAUAAUCUUCAAUAUCAUCAAUGUACUCUCGCAACUUUAAAUGAAAAAAGAGAAGAAAUAGUUAGGUAAAAGUAACGUAAACAACACAUUCAGAGUUUGAGUAAAAUUAUACAAAUAAAUUACACAAACUUUUAAAGAGACCAAACAAAUAUGAAAACAGUAAACAACAGCAGAUGGAAGAAGGAAGACAACAAAAUGAAAAUUUUGAGAGUAAGAUAUAGGAUACAAACGAAUCGGAAAGAUUUCUCGACAGAUUUCUGAGCCGCGUGAACGAAGAGCGAACCCAACAGAGCACCACGAUGCCUCGACGCCUCGACGACAAACAAAAGGCUCAGCCCAAGGGAAGAACAACACGAAGAUGGUGCAGGAAAGGGGUUUGGGGGAAAAUGAUUUCGGUGAAGUUUUAGGGAGCGAGGAAACGAAGGCAAUGAGUGAGAAAUAUAGGGUUUGAGGAUGAAGGCAGAGAGCGAGGGUUUGAGGAUGAAGGCAGGGAGCAAGGGUUUGAGGAAAAUUAGAGAAUAAGCUUGUUAUAUUUAGAAAAUGAUUAAGGCAAAAGAAAUGAGACGCGGGGCAGAUAGAUAUUUUGGGAAUUACUUUGAAAUAUUUAGAGGCAGUUUUGUUAAAUCGCAGGAAAUUUGUCGGGGUUUAUAAAACCGCCGAAAACUAACCCCCCUAAAAUAUAUUAUUUUUGUAGUGGGUGUCAUAACAUUAACUACAUUGACAUCCCUUUUCUUAAUGGAAACAUAAAAAUAAAGAUACAAAACCAGUGUUAAAAUAGU
rnacentral:lncRNA from 1 species